CGCGCUGAAGAGCACCCAGCCCAUCGUCGCCGAGUGAUCUUUCUCCACUGAGGUGGUGUUUUGGCAGCGGUAGAACAUCGGCUUCAUGAUUCGUGUCCCAAUGAACGUUGAUCUUCACUGCAUACCUGAGGAAACAGUCUUUGAAAGGUUAAGUGAUCCGCCCAAGGUAACCAAGCGGUAAGCGGCAAAGCUAGACCCGGAACACUGAUCUGCUACUGAAAGAGUUCAUCCUUCUUGGCUUCUCCUCCCAAGAGUCUGGCCAGACUUCGGGGAAGUGGCUGCAGGGAAGACCGAGGGAGAUGUUGGUCCUGGGUACCAGGCAUCGCAGCGAUUGUGUAGACCAGGUGGGAGGAGCAUGGUUAAGAGCAUUAAUGCUGUCUGUCAUCAGAUAGACGGCGGUUCAAGUCCUAGUUCUGCUACUCACUGCCUGUGUGACCCCGAGGGACUUAACCCCUCUAGAAAUAAUAUGUAGCCAGCCUGCGUGGCUCUUUUGUGGCAUAGGGAUAACAGGGAAAGUGCAGGCACAUAAGAGUCGUUUGGCACAACGCAACUGGGAGGAUGUUUUAGCGAGGCUGUUUUAGUAGCUGAUAUUUAACUGCAGUUUUUAGCUUGGAAUUUUGAAACCAGAAAAUAGGAGACUCGAUAUAGAGCUUCCUCACUCUGGUUUGUGACCACUAGAAAACCUUUCUUUUCUCUUGGCCUUUGACUUGGCUGCCUCACAGAGACAAGGGAGUUUAUUGUGAUAAGUGUAAUUUAUUUCUUUAAUUAUCACGUGAUAUUCUGGGAAAGAAACUAUCUUUGUGUGUGGAAUUUGAGUGGGGUAACCGGGGCUGUUGGUACCUGAUCAAGUAGAUAAUGCCUUGGCUUGAAGAAGCUAAUUUUGAGGCUCGGUGCUUAUUUGGAAAGGACAGACUCAGGGAGAGAGCAGGGCCCUUGAGCUUUGGAGGUGAAAGCCGUAAGGGUGGUCAGGGAAGCUGCCUCCGGACGGAGAGCCUGGCCAGUAACUCUGGCCAUGGGGUGGAGAUGAAGAGUCCAAGCUUUGCAAUUAGGUGGUUCUGAACUUGACCACUAGCUGUGUGACCCUGGGUUAGUUUACUCAAUCCCUGUUUGUUUCCUCAUAGAUAGGAUAUGGAACUUAAGCUGACCUCAUCGUGUUACUGUGAAGUUCAGAAAGCGCAAAGCAUUUGGCAUAGUAAUAAUAAUAGUAAGAGUGAACGUUUAUAGGCCCUUCUAUGUGCUGGGUACUCUCUACUCCUUUCUCACCUAUUCACUCAAUUAAUAGAAAGCCUUCCACGCAGUUGGUGCCCUUGUCUUCCAUCUUCUCUCCCCCAUCCCCACCUCUCACUGCUCCUUCCAGCCCCUGAGGAAUAAUAUGGGGUUAGAAGAGCCUUACUUGAGUUGAGGAAGUAAAAGAAGGAGAAGGUCCUAUAACCAAAAGACACGAGAAUCUGAUGCAAUCUGAGGUCUCCUCACCAGAUGUAUGUACAUACACUCACAGCUUAAACCAACCGCAGGGUGUUUGGAGUUCCCUGAAAUUCCACCGUAGUGUCCAGAGGAGGUCCCACGACUCUAGAUGAAGAAUCCUCCUCUAAGGAUAUUAUAUGUUUAUUGAUUUGAGAGAAAGAGAGAAAGAAAAUCAUCAACAUGAGAGAGAAACAUUGAUCAGCUGCCUCUCGUACCUGCCCCAACUGGGGGAUUGAACGCACAGUCUAGGUAUGCUCCCUGAUGAGGAAUUGAACCUGUGGCCUUUUGGUGUGCGGGACAACGCUUCGACCAACUGAAGCACCCAACCAGGCACUAUUCUAGGCCCUUGAAAUAAAUCAGUGAACAAAACUGAUCAAGAUUCUUGUCAUCAAGUCCACCAAGUUUAAAGCCAGAUAAGUCCAGCAGCAGUCCAUCUGAAGAGGGAAAUGGUACACCUGGAUCAAGCCCAAGUAGCACCAGAGGGCAUGUGUAAGCUAUUUGAACAGGUGUCCUUGUGAUCUCUCAGCCUGCUCCUUCUUCCUUUAUGCUUCAGAAUGUAUAAAGCUCCGGCCUAUCCAGUCCCAUCUUGGCAUCUACUUCUUGGAGGUCUGUAACCAACAUCUGAUAUUUAAAGCCAUAAGACAGAAUGACAUUGUCAAGGUUGUGAGUGCAGAUAGAAAUUAGAAGCGAACUAAGCUCCAGGAUUCUCCAACAUUCAGAAUGAAAGAGAGAGAAAGAAUUAACAAGAGACUGAGAAGGGCUGGCUGGUGAAUUAGGAGGAAAACCAAGAGAAUUUGGUGUCCUUGAAACCAAGGAAAAAAGGUGUACCCAAGAAAAGGAAUGCUUGACCAUGUCACAGAUGCUGCCAGGUCAUGUGAGCUGAGGAUCACAGGAUUUAACAAGCUGAAGCUCAUUGGUGACUUCGACAAGAGCAGUUUCAGUGACGGAAGCAGAUGACACCUGAUUGGCAUGUGUAAGAGACAAUGGGAGAACAGGAACUGGAAAUGCUGAGUGUAGACCACUUUGGGGAGAGAUCUGUUGCAAAGUGGAGCUGAGAAAUGGGGCAGGAGCUGGCAGGGGAACUGGGAUCCAAGAAAGGAUUCUUAAGAUGUGAGAGGUAGCAGCCUAUUAGUGUGCUGAAAGGAAUGAUCCAGUAAAGGUAAGAAAUGGAUGAUGUAAGCAGAGUGAAGCACUGUUGGAAUGAUGUUGUUGAGUAGGUGAUAAAGGAUGAGGUUACUGAGUGGGAAGCUCUUUGAAGAGUCCCCGCUCCAACUCUCUGCUACUCCCAGGCCUGAGCUCACCUGCGGUCAGUUAAGUGCAAAUGCCUGAAAUAGCACAAACUCCCACCCCUCCACACAGUGUGUUGCAUCAGCUCAGACACUCACCACUGAUUUUCAGUCCCCUCUUUGCGUUUGGUAUCUAGGAAUUUUGCCUCACUUUCUGUGAUUUAAACUAAUUUACUAUAACUUUCACCCAUUUCUCAUUUUUGUGCCUGGAUUGUUUUCUGGCUACCCCAGUCUCCUAUCUUACUGCAAAUGAGAGUCUCCUACAGCAAUUUUUCUCAAGGGCAGAUCUAAUUAGGUUUCUUCCCUACCCUUUAACUCUUCAGUUGCUUACAGUUACCUGAAGAAUAAAAUCCAGGCUUCUCAUGGCAGCAUGUGAAAUAUGCUUCUCUCCUCUCCAGGCUCCUAGCUGUCCAUCCCUGCAGACCUUGCAAACACAAAUAUUCAGUCGUCAAAUCCACCUUUUCAGCUUCUGACCUUGGUGCCAUUCCAAGGAUGGCCUUCUUCACUCUACGAUCAUAAGGCUGUUCUAUAUUUAAUACAGUAUAUUUUACUGUAUUUUUCACAUUUCAGAUUUUAUUUCACUUAUAACUUUUUUAAUGAUGCAAGUAAUUAAUUUUUAUCCCAUUUUUAGCCAGUUGCUCUAAUGCCCCCCUUCCAACUUUAAAUAUUAGUGAUUGAAACAAAGGCCCUGGCGUGCUUCCAUCAGCAGCAGCACAGGCCGGGGAGCCAGAGUGGUCCUGGUGCCUGUGACAGAUGCCAGCCCUGCCUCUUCCCUGCUGCUGCCAGGAUUCUUGGAGGCAGCUUAUGUGUGGCACAGGCACCGAAGCGGCAUUUACUAAUGUCAUUGUGCUGGGUAUGAUUAUGACUUAGUAGGAGUAACAGAAUUAAUGGAUUUGGGGGGACUGUAUUCUAUUCUCUUGAGCUAUUCGUCUAUACCCAUCCCAGGAUCAUAUUGCUUUAAUUUCUUGAGGUUUGAUAGAAUGUUUUAUUUUUAUUUAUUUAUUUAUUUAAAUAUAGAAUUUAUUGGGGUGACAUUGAUUAAUAAAAUUAUAUAGGUUCAGGUGUACAAUUCUAUAAUACAUCAUCUCUGUAUUGUACUGUGUGUUCGCCACCCAAAGUCAAGUCCUUCCAUCACCAUCUCUCCCCUCUUUACCUUCCUCUACCUCCUCCCAUUCCCCUUUCCCUCUGGUAAUCACCAUACUGUCUGUGGCUAUGAGGUUGUUUUCUUUGUUUAAUCUCUUUACCUUUUUCCCUACUGCCCCCCCCCAACAACUGUCAGUCUGUUCUCUGUUUCUAUGAGUCUGUUUCUAUUUUGCAUGUUAGUUUAUUUGGUUCAUUAGAUUCUUCGUACAAGUGAAAUCAUAUGGUAUUCGUCUUUCUCUGACUGGCUCGUUUCAUUUAGCAUUACUCUCUAGGUCCAUCUGUGCUGUUGCAAAAGGUAAGAUUUCUUUCUUUUUUAUAGCUGAGUAGUAUUCCAUUGUG